CGGAAGAAGAAAAAACCUUCCUGUUAAAUGCUAAUAGAAGUUCAAAGUAUGUGUCAUCUUUUCUAUGUCACAGCAUCACAUAGGAAAAGGACAAAGUAACCACCUUACCCUCAGCCCAUCCGUCUAAGCCAGAGCUGAGGAUAAGUUUGUGUGUUUCAGUCUCAAACAAUGAACAAGAAAAAAGAUAUUUCUUUCAAAGCCCAACGGUGAAGCUUUUUACCAGGAUGAAACAAAGAAUCUUGAAUUUGUUUUGUUUCUUGUURCUGUGUAACAUAUCUUAAUAAAUUUUUAGUAUUUAAUUGUA